rnacentral:rRNA from 1 species
CCUACGGGAGGCAGCAGUGAGGAAUAUUGGUCAAUGGGCGCGAGCCUGAACCAGCCAAGUAGCGUGAAGGAUGACUGCCCUACGGGUUGUAAACUUCUUUUAUAAAGGAAUAAAGUGCGGCACGUGUGCCUUUUUGUAUGUACUUUACGAAUAAGGAUCGGCUAACUCCGUGCCAGCAGCCGCGGUAAUACGGAGGAUCCGAGCGUUAUCCGGAUUUAUUGGGUUUAAAGGGAGCGUAGAUGGGUUGUUAAGUCAGUUGUGAAAGGUUGCGGCUCAACCGUAAAAUUGCAAUUGAUACUGGCAGUCUUGAGUAUAGUUGAGGUAGGCGGAAUGCGUGGUGUAGCGGUGAAAUGCUUAGAGAUCACGAAGAACACCGAUUGCGAAGGCAGCUUACUAAACUACCACUGACGUUGAUGCUCGAAAGCGUGGGUAGCAAACAGGAUUAGAUACCCGUGUAGUC